rnacentral:rRNA from 1 species
GAUGAACGCUGGCGGCGUGCCUAAUACAUGCAAGUCGAGCGAACAGACGAGGAGCUUGCUCCUCUGACGUUAGCGGCGGACGGUUGAGUAACACGUGGAUAACCUACCUAUAAGACUGGGAUAACUUCGGGAAACCGGAGCUAAUACCGGAUAAUAUAUUGAACCGCAUGUUUCAAUAGUGAAAGACGGUUUUGCUGUCACUUAUAGAUGGAUCCGCGCCGCAUUAGCUAGUUGGUAAGGUAACGGCUUACCAAGGCAACGAUGCGUAGCCGACCUGAGAGGGUGAUCGGCCACACUGGAACUGAGACACGGUCCAGACUCCUACGGGAGGCAGCAGUAGGGAAUCUUCCGCAAUGGGCGAAAGCUUGACGGAGCAACGCCGCGUGAGUGAUGAAGGUCUUCGGAUCGUAAAACUCUGUUAUUAGGGAAGAACAAAUGUGUAAGUAACUAUGCACGUCUUGACGGUACCUAAUCAGAAAGCCACGGCUAACUACGUG